rnacentral:rRNA from 1 species
UACGAAGGGGGCUAGCGUUGUUCGGAGUUACUGGGCGUAAAGGGCGCGUAGGCGGCGCAUCAAGUCAGGCGUGAAAGCCCUGGGCUCAACCCGGGAAUUGCGCUUGAGACUGGUGUGCUUGAGUACGGGAGAGGAUACUGGAAUUCCCAGUGUAGAGGUGAAAUUCGUAGAUAUUGGGAAGAACACCGGUGGCGAAGGCGGCUAUCUGGACCGUAACUGACGCUGAGGCGCGAAAGCGUGGGGAGCAAACAGG